AUUAUUUAACCGCUGCUGUAUUUGGUAAUUAAUCAGUCAUAAAUAUCCCGCAAACGCACCAAUUUCUAACCGCAUAACCAAUCGUACAAAUCUUUUAAAACCGUUAGAAACCGCAACCACCCGCAUCCGCAAACUCCUGCAACCGCAACCGCAACCGCAACCGCUGUGUUUGAACCAGUCAGGCCUUUAGUCUCAUGUCAAUCAUGUUAUGUUUUUAUUUGGAGGUUUUACUUUUCAAUUGAUUUUUUUUAUUUUUAGUCAUACAAAUGUGAAUUAUAAUUUUGAAAAUUUAUACUACUAUUUAGCACGUUAAAUACGUGUAUAUAUAUCCAUUUACGAAAAUCUUAAAUAUAUACAUGCAAUGAAAUAACGCUCAAAAUUUUAUCUUAAAUUUUGCAUGUAUCUGGAACUCCACGUGCUUUCCAGCUUUAUGUCAUUGCAUGUAUACCCAGCACUGUGUCUACCCCUCGAUACCUAUCCAUGGAUACAUUCUUAACAGCAUCGUUUUUGAAUUUGUCAUUUUUCAAAUAAAAUAUUAUAUAUAUUGACGUUUACCAACUUCACUUCCGAAAGCAUAUGGAGUUUCAGUGCCUAUACAUGGAUUCUAGACCAACGGCCGGAUGAUCGGAAGCGCCAGUUCGUGACCACCACGACUAUCAAUUAUGUUACAAGAAAAGGACCUGUUGGACCAACCAUGUCUCCAGGACCAGGGACGUCUGAGGUAUCUCAGACACCACCGUCGGAACCUUCUCCUUCAUCCGCCUACGGCCUCUCACCGUCUCUUCUUUUCUUUGGCAUAAGCCUUACAGCUCUCAAAUUACAUUGAUUCAUUUGAUCCUUUAAUUUCCUAUGUCUUCAUAUUAAUCUUCAUGUGGUUUGAUUCAUGUAUUGUCGAUUUAUGGUGAAAAAAAAAACACAUUUACUUGGUCAUUGCAUUGUUGUGGAAGCAGCCUUUUCUGUACAUUGUAAUUCGUUUGUUUUUGUUAGUGAUACAUUGUAAUUGUUUCGAGUGAUAUUUACUUUAUAUUAAUUUUUCAAGUAACA